UACGAAGGGGGCUAGCGUUGCUCGGAAUGACUGGGCGUAAAGGGCGCGUAGGCGGCUUACAUAGUUAGGCGUGAAAUUCCUGGGCUCAACCUGGGGACUGCGUCUAAUACAUGUAGGCUUGAGUGUGAAAGAGGGUCGCGGAAUUUCCAGUGUAGAGGUGAAAUUCGUAGAUAUUGGAAAGAACACCGGUGGCGAAGGCGGCGACCUGGUUCAUUACUGACGAUGAGGCGCGAAAGAGUGGGGAGCAAACAGG
rnacentral:rRNA from 1 species